UUCUAGUGAUCUUACUUCUUAAAAAAGAAGCACUCUAUCUGACUUUGAUCAGCCAUUAACUUAGGUUUCUGGUACUGACUCCCAACACCUGGCACCUUCUUAUUCUUUUUCUUCUUCUCUUUCUUAAAGGGAUGAUGACUAUCCAAAGAAGAUCCUCCCACUAAAUUUACUAUCUCUUUGUAGAGCUGGUGAUCCUUCUCAAAAGUCUGUAACCAC
rnacentral:lncRNA from 1 species